ensembl:lncRNA
CAGGCUUUGAGGCAGCCUUCCCACCCGCGCCCCUGAGCCCGGAGUGGGGAUCCCGGAGCCCGCACUUUGUCCGCUGGACUCGGGCCCCGGCGAACCUGAGGCUCAGUCCUCGGCUCAGCCUAGCUCUUCCCCCCCUUGCGCCUCAGGGUCUCCUCGCUCCUGGUUCCCGAAGUCUUGCGCCCGAGGGACACUCUAAACUUCAGUUGAGUAAUGGGGACGAGAGGGGGUGGUGGUGCAGAUACACAAUCCCUGCGCUAUCUCGCGAUCGGGAAAGGAGAGGGCUCAUAAGGACGCCCCAAUUCGGGAGCGCCCUGGAGCCUGGAGAGCAAUAGAGUCAGUUCGCGCGAAGUGGGCACCAGUCUUCCGAGUAGAGUUUCGGGUGCUCCGGACCACACUGCGCUCCCGCAAGAGUCUCUCUAGCCACUUUGGUCUUCCCCCGCUCUUUAAAAUCUAAAUCUUUUGUGUGCGGGUAAAUGUUUCUGUUUUCCUCCUGACGACUUUAUUUCUCUUGGUAUAACUUCUCCUUUUUCCUUGUUCGCCCUUUCUUCACCUUUUCUCCCGCUUAUUUUUCCUCUCUUGAGGCCUCGCUCGAUCUCACACACACACAAACACACACCCACACCCCUCUGCACCUCGCUCUUUCUCCCCAGGUCCUGUUGGUUACAGUAGAUUUUGAUAAAAAGACAAACGAAGCUAUCAGUGGGGCUGAUGUUGAAGAAUGAAGAUAAUAAUGUUUCCAUAGGUGGUGCUUCAAAUGCCAUUAUUUCUCACUGAAUAUUUAAAGAGAUCCCUCGGCAAAGAUGGAUCUGCGUGCUCCUGGGGUGCCAGCCUCUCGCUUCCCCCAGAUCCCCGGGAAAGUGUGAGGGAGCACGUGUAAAACCCACCCCCCGCUCUGCAAACUGUGAUCCUCGCAGGCAUCCCAACCCACACUCUUCCAGCCCCAGUACUUCGCUUCCCCGAGAGUUUCAGAAACUCUUUCCUUAACUGCUGUCGCUCAAAUCCUCAUCUCUCCUCGGCCACUGGAGAGGUUUCAGACCCGAGGCUUCGGGGAGCCUGCUCAGGGCCAUCUGCAUGCCGGACGUUUAGAAACUGACUUCUUCGCUGGCGACCGCAAGUGCCUGUGAUUUUUUCUUUCCGUCUACAUUGAACAUCUUAUACUGAAACUCACUGCACCCUGCGUGCCACAGUGCCUCGCUAAGGGGUCUCUGGGUACAAAAUGUCUCUCAAAGGAAAUGUAUCGAGAUACUUGCCAGGAACUAGCUUUAUUCACAUCGUGCUUGGGAGUUGGAGUUGGACUCUUGGGUGCCUGUGCUGGCUCUGUCGUUUGAUGGUAUCUUGGGAACACCGUCGUGGGUGUGCACCCGUGUGGAAAUGGAUCAUUUCUACUUAUCCUACUUACCCCUUAGUUUCAACAAGCGAGCCCUGCACCUCUCUGAGCCUCUUCUGUAGCUGGGUAGGAGGAUGUGGAGACUGCCUGUGAACAGCCCUGACAACUUGCCUGGCAUGUGACAGCCGCUCUCUCUCUGGAUCGGAACCUGCGGUACUCUGCCUCCUGAGAAAUGUGGGCUGUGAUGGACGACUAGAUGGUGCCCCAACUAAGAUGAAGAACACGGCGCCGGGGGCAGCAGACACCAGGAGAAUCAAUAAACUAUAAUUAUCAAGAGCGGUGUCUGUGAGAGGUGUGGAGUCCUGUGGACAGAGAGAGACAGAGGAGGGGGCGAGAGCGAGACACACGCACAUCCUGAGAGAUGCAGAAGACGCAUGCGCCCAAGGACGCGAAAGCCAGAAGGGAGAAGCAGAAUGGGUGUGAUGUACACAGGCCCUCCACCCCUGCGCCGCACCCCGCCCCACCCCCGGCCCCAACCUUGCUGAUGGGCCUGGCAGAAGGUGCAAGAGCAGGUCUCCCACCUAUUUAUAUAGCCCUCAGCUUUUUACAUUCUCCAAGUCCUCAGCCAUAUCAUUUUUUUGCAUUACAAAAAGAAUAUCAGAGCCUCAAUAUAAGAAUGGAUUCCACUGAUAACAUCAAAUCCAUUCAUUUGAUUAGGCUGAGAUGCGAAGUCAAUAUAGAUUGCAAUAUAUUGCUUUAGAAACAUGACUUCCACAUCACCAGGGUCUUCAUCGUCCCUGAGUUUACCACUGUCCUCUGGGCCCACCACUACUCCAUGCGGUUUUUGAUCCAGCACUUCUGGAACUGAUGUACGAGACUGUCACCAGGAGUUCUUGAGGAGCCUCGUGUACCCGCUGCUGUCAGUGAGCUCUGCCUGUUGCUGCUUAACCUGAUAUAGUGUGAAGCCCUCUUGAAAUGCUACCUUUUCUGAUCCCCAACACUUGAGGUCUCACCACUCCCCCGAGAAAGGAUUAUUGAAUCUGUGUUCAUUUUCUUGGCCCCAUUUGAUCUGGGAACCUAGUGACCUUUAUCAGCACACAACUGGCCUGAUUUGAAGUCAUUUGGGGUUGGUGUGUCUUCUGAAUUUAUUAGAGAGGUUCUCAUAGGAGGCAUGCUUUUGUGACACUCAGAUUGUCAGAGUCCCUCCCCAUGUCCUUUUUUAAGGUUAGUAUUUUUUUUUUUUUUUAAACAAACGCAUGCAAACUAGUUUUACUUUGGGCUUUAUUGUGUGCCUGGCACCAGCCUAAGCAUUUUACAAGCAUUAUCUCAGUCAGCACUUAAUCUCAAUGGCACCAAUAGCAACUAUUUCUUCCCUCAUUUGUGGGAGCUAUUUCUUCCCUCCCUGUCACAGAGCUCACAGGUGGCCAAGCUUAGUGGAUGCCCAGGCCAGCCUGGAAGCCCGGGGCCAUCACCACCUUUCCCAGAGAGGAAACUGAGCCUGAACAGAUUAACACCCAGGGCCUCACAGCUCACCAGAGUUAAGUGACCAGACGGGGUUGGAUCAGGCCCCCCAACUCCCAGAGAAGUUGAAGUGAAAAUGAAGGUACACAAUAAAACCCAGCCUGCAUUGGGGGUCUCCAGGAUGGUCCCACACUUCCCCCCAUCUCCUUCCUACCACCUUGAAGGAUGCACACAGCCUUUCCAGCUCUAGGGGACACAUGGCCGCCCAGGAUCCCAGGCGGCAGGGACACAGGGCUCCUCUGAAUUCUCUUUCCAUUCUGGAUUGGGGGCAGGUGGGGGGACCAUCCAUAAAGCUCCCUCUGGCUUAGAAGCAGAAGGAAGAGACCUGUGUGUGUCCACUUGGCUGAGGGAUCCUCGGUGAGAAGACUGUUCCUGGGUUUGGGUGGCCAUCAGGCGCAGGCACCCACAGCUCUCACCUGGUGCGGAUGCGUGGAGAGGUUUGGAAGCUCUAGGAGAAGAAAGAUGUUGGGAACAAAUAAUUGCCUGCACCUUCUCUCCUGCCCAGAGGAAAGAGCCAGGAAAUAGGAAGAUUUCCAAGCCAAAGUCUGCAACUUAUCCAUGGGGCCACAGGAUGAUGCACAUCGCUGACUGGACUCAGGGCCCCUGGAGUCUCCCAUGGCCCACAAAUGCCUUGAACUAAACAUACUGCAGGGAUGCUGACAUCUAUAAACUUAUGAGUCUGAUGCGGUCUCCACUGCUAACUAACCUCUUGAAGCCUUCUUUUGCUCUUUGUGUUUUUUAUUGGAAAGUGGGCAAAAUGAUAGUGUCUACCUGUCUUAGUCCUAGUCCAUUCAGGCUGCUCUAACAGAAUAUCACAAACAGUAAGGUGGCUUUUAAAUGAGACAUUUAUUUCUCAUAGCUCUGGAGGCUGGAAGUCCAAAACUGGGGGAUCCAGUAUGGUUGGAUGAGGGCCCUCUUCUGGGUUGUAGAUACCUCAGUAUACACUUAUGAGGGUAGAAAGGGACAGCAGAAGUGAUUUAUCAGGAGGCUUCUUACAUAAGGCACUAAUACCAUUCAUGAGGGCUGCACCCUCAUGACGUAAGCACCUCUCCGAGGCUUCAGCUCCUGACCAUCAUCUUGCGUGUAGGUUCAGUCACUCAGUCAUGUCCGACUCUCUGUGGCUUCGUGGAUUGUAGACUGCCAGCCUCCUCUGUCCAUGGAAUUUUCUAGUCAAGAGUACUGGAGUGGGUUAACACGCCUUCUCCAGGGAUUCUUCCCGACCCAGGGAUUGAACUCGUGUCUCUUUCAUCUCCUGCGCUGGCAAGUGGAUUCUUUAUCACUGGGGGCUAAGAUUUCCACAUAUGAACUUUGAGGGGACACAGCAUUCAGGUCGUAGUACUACCUCAAAGACUGCUUUAGGUUUUCCAUGAGGAAAUUAUAAAGCAUUUCAAUGCAUGUUUGGUUUAUGCCAAAACUCAAACUAAAUGGUGACUGUCUGUGACUUGCCAUUUUUGUGCCCAUUUUCUCAUUUGGAAAACAGGAUAAACAAUAAAUAACCCUUAUACUCUACUUCAGAAUGGAGUUUAAAUAGGUAAUGUUGGGAAUUCCCUGGUGAUCCAAGGGUUAGGAUUCUAUGGUUUUACAGCUGUGGGCCUGGGCUCGAUCCAUGGUUGGGGAACUACAAUCCUGCCAGGUUUGCCAAGAUAAAAAAAAAAAAAAAAAACUUAAGGUUGAGCCAUAUGAAAUUGUCAAUAUUUGAUCAUUUUUGACCUCUACAAAUUGCAAUUUCUUGUGUGCCAAUCUGAUGACAUGUGGUAUGUCAAUUCAUAUCUAUAGAGCCUUAUAACCAGUUAUACAUAUGAGUGGUUGCUUUGCUUUCUAGUUUCAUUGUGAAACACGUCUCAGAAAAAUGACAAGAUUGCACCUAUGGGAUUGUUUUUCUCUCUUUGUUUCAUUUUAUAGUCUUCUUCACCUCUCCCCAGAACUUGCCCAUCAUCAUAUUUCACAGAACUCUGGAAGGGCAAGCUCUGUUCAUCAGAAACAUCCCACUGGAGAGAGUAGAUUUGUUAUUUUCUGUGUUACGUUGUUAAUUGAUUUGAUAAUUGCCUGGGAGACACACACAGACAUACACAUACACAAAACAAAUGUCAGGCCACACACUUUUCUCUAGACAGUAAGAUGAAGAUGUUUUAGUUAUUGGAACGCAGAUGUCACCUAGAAGAAUAAGAGGAGGUACCGGGAAAAAAAGAGGGGAGUGGAGCCGACAGGGCGGGGGGAGGCAGGCCAUCCCUCUUGGUUAUCAAGCGAAAUGACUCCCCAAAUAUGACAAUAAAUCACUGCAG